GUCCCUUCGGGGACAUCUGAUAAAAUUAGAACGAUACAGAUAAGAUUAGCAUAACCUCUGCGCAAAGAUAACACGCACAAAUCAAGAAAUGGUCCAGACAUUU